rnacentral:misc_RNA from 1 species
CAGCAUCAACAAGUCCCUCUUUAUUUCCUGCAACUCGUUCUGCUUCUAAUACUAAUACAAGUCCCUCUGUUUCAAAUAUUUAUGCUACAAGUUUUAUGGGCGCGCACUUGAGAACAUAUUAUCCAGCUACAAGGAAACUAGUAAGGAUCCAUAGGGGUAUAGUUGCUGCGGCAGUUGCAACUUCCCCUGCAGAGGAAAUCAAAGAAUAUGUGCUUCCUUCAUGGGCUAAAUUUGACCUUGGAAUAUCACCAGUAUAUUGGAAAACAAUGAAUGGUCUUCCUCCAACUGCAGGAGAGAGACUGAAGCUUUUUUACAAUCCAGCUGCAAGCAAUAUGGUACCUAAUGAAGAUUUUGGAAUCGCGUUUAAUGGAGGUUUUAACCAGCCUAUCAUGUGUGGAGGUGAGCCUAGGAUAAUGCUCGAGAAAAUCAGAGGAAAAGCCGACCCUCCUAUUUAUACGAUUCAGUUAUGUAUUCCCAAGCAUGCUCUUAGUUUGAUCUUCUCAUUCACAAAUGGAACCGAAUGGGAUGGUCCCUAUAGACUACAAUUUCAAGUCCCCAAGGCUUGGAGAAAUAAACCAACUGAAUUCUUCACUGAGGGUCUUACACAGGAGUUGAGCCAGGAGGGUGCCUGUGACAGGGCAAUCUUCCCGGACUCGAGUAUCUUGAUCACAAGAUGUGCUAUGGUUGGUAACUUGAAUGUGGAUGGAGGUGAUCGUUGCAAUCUUGAUCUAGUACCGGGAUGCAUUGAUCCAGAUUCUCCCCAGUAUAAUCCACUAGCCAAUGUAGAUGAUGGAUCUUGUCCACCAUAUUCAGAUUCUGAGGAUUAACUUUCAGUACAUAUAUACGACUCGUGAUGUUUAUAGUUUAGUGUUAUCGAUGGAAGUCUUUCACACGUGUGUGGAUUCGAUUUCAACUAUUUACCUUUGUGAUAAAGAAAAUGUGUAGAAUUACUAAAAGGAAUGAAUCUCCAACCUUAUACUGUGAAGUAUCUAGUUAUGGUGUCUUUACUAGUUGGUUUGUAAUUUGUAUAGAACUUUGAUACUUCACUUGUGGCAUGCAGCAAAAACAAGCUCUUGAUAAAAACUCUUGUAUUUUGAAUAUUUACACCUAGUUCAAAGUGAGUUAAUUUCAACAUUCUAGAUCCAAA